CUAUNCGGGAGGCAGCAGUGGGGAAUAUUGCACAAUGGGGGAAACCCUGAUGCAGCCAUGCCGCGUGUGUGAAGAAGGCCUUCGGGUUGUAAAGCACUUUCAGUUGUGAGGAAAAGUUAGUAGUUAAUACCUGCUAGCCGUGACGUUAACAACAGAAGAAGCACCGGCUAACUCCGUGCCAGCAGCCGCGGUAAUACGGAGGGUGCGAGCGUUAAUCGGAAUUACUGGGCGUAAAGCGCACGCAGGCGGUUUGUUAAGCUAGAUGUGAAAGCCCCGGGCUCAACCUGGGAUGGUCAUUUAGAACUGGCAGACUAGAGUCUUGGAGAGGGGAGUGGAAUUCCAGGUGUAGCGGUGAAAUGCGUAGAUAUCUGGAGGAACAUCAGUGGCGAAGGCGACUCCCUGGCCAAAGACUGACGCUCAUGUGCGAAAGUGUGGGUAGCGAACAGGAUUAGAUACCCUGGUAGUCCACACCGUAAACGCUGUCUACUAGCUGUUUGUGACUUUAAGUCGUGAGUAGCGAAGCUAACGCGCUAAGUAGACCGCCU
rnacentral:rRNA from 1 species